UCCGUAGGCGGGUAAUUAAGUCAGAGGUGAAAUCCCACAGCUUAUCUGUGGAACUGCCUUAGAUACUGGUUAUCUUGAGUUUUAGUGAAGUAGAUAGAAUGUGUAGUGUAGCGGUGAAAUGCAUAGAUAUUACACAGAAUACCGAUUGCGAAGGCAGUCUACUAACUAACAACUGACGCUAAUGGACGAAAGCGUGGGGAGCGAACAGGAUUAGAUACCCUGGUAGUCC
rnacentral:rRNA from 1 species